UUUUUUUGUCUUUUAGAUAGAGUUUAAGUUCACUGAUAAUGAUACCAUAAGACACAAGCUAAAUUUGUUAAGAUUUGCUGCUUUUUCUAAGAAAAGACCGUCUCAAAUGGUUUAAUCAGAUGUGUCUGGUCUGAUAAGGAUAAUUACACAGUGAGACUGUGGGCAUCACACAGAGAGAGAAAUAGAUCUGUAAAAACCGCUAAUGAAACUUGGACCUAAGGGGAUUUGAACUCACAACCUGACAGCUAGGAAUUAAAUAGUCCAGGAAAUUGGCAGUGGGCUAAACAAUGGAAUUCAGACGGGGCCCCUAGCAGGUGCUAAAUUAUUUCCCUGAGCAGGCUCAUAUUCGGCCGAUGCGCCGAAGACAGGGAAGGAACACACACGUAAAUCAGCUCUUGAUUUCUGACACGGUUUCACCCAGUUGAAGUGGAGAGAGAUGACACUCAGCUCACGGGGUGGUAUCCAAGACCCAUUGAACCUUGGAUGUCAGAGCUGGAAGGCAUCUCAGAAACCUCAGUCUCCACUCUCUCCAUUAUACAGAAAAAGAAAAGGCAUUUUUCUCAAUUACCAAGAAAAAUCCUAAGGCUAGCUUUUGCUGAACUAGAUUUGGAACAUCACAUGCUUCCAGAAUAAGCACAUCAGGGCUCUGUGCUCAGCGGGUUGUAAUGGCACCAGGAACACUUCUUCCCUCCUCCCUGAAGGUCUCUGUGACUUUCCCUUCACCUUGGCUCAUGGUGAGACCCUGCUUGACUAAUGUUCCAGGAUGGCUCAGCACUGCACCUGGAAAUGAGGGCAGAGUGAGGCCUGGUAAUCGCUGGACUUUCAUGAGAGGAGCCUGUCUGCAGUGAAAAUAUCAAGAAAGCAUUUGUUUUGUGCAGUCUUCAGGUUUAGAAAAUCUUUCCUCUUCUGCGAUGAUUUCUUUGGACACACUUAACAAUGAGUCAUGCAAAUUCAGUCACUGAUCUCUCCAACGUUUAUGGAGCUCAGAGAACUUCCCAGGAGUUGUUCUAGGUACUGAUGCUAUGCAGGUAAUGAGACAGACAGAGCCUUUCUCUCCUGAAGCUUCCAUUCCAGUGAGCAAGACAGACCAUAAUAAGAUGCGUUCCAUUUCAGAUGGGAAUACUUAUUUUGAACAAUGACAAAAGUGUGCCAAGAGGAAUUCUAGAGAAGUGGCCAGGAGCAAGGCUCUGUGUUCAAGUUAGUGUUUCUGAAUUUUAAGGGAUGUAAAUAUUUGGAAUUCAGAGAAGAAAAGGAAAUUCCCGGGAAUUCUCAAGGAUUCAUGAAAUCAUGGGUUAUUCGUAAAACAUUUUUAAUGUUUUUCAUAUUUUUUACUCACUUUUAUCCAUGUAUAACAGAUCAGAAAUAUUCAGUUAAGUUGCAUUUACAAAUAUCUGUAGCCUAUAGUGAACAGGCAAACACUGUAAAACACCAGCACGCAUUCAAACACAGUAAAACAUCAGUUUCUAGAAAACAUCCGAUUAGGAUUUCAUAUUAAGAUUAGCAGUGAUGCAUAGAAGCAUAGAACUGGGUGUCAAAAUUGCCAAUUUAGGGACUUACUUGCUUCCAAGGUGUGUUAUUUUUGAUACAUCCUUCCUGGAGUGUGUAUAAAGUAUACUAUGACUGCAAGUGUAUUAGCUUUUCUUUUAUCAGCAACAAUGACUCACUUUUGGCAGCAGACAGAGCCACCAGCAGACAUCAUAGUACGGCCACAACUACAAUCAAGACUGACCCAUGAAAUCAUACGGGUUCUACUUCUACGUGCUCCUGUCCCAGUGACCCCAAAUGUUAACUUUGAUGCUGGAUGCCCUUCUCUGUGUUCCCUGUGCUUGUGUAUUCCCGUGAUGUCCGUGGAUUCUUCUGAUCUAGACACAUCUCUGUGGAUAGUUAAGGUUUCAUUCACACUUGAGAACUGCCACACAUCUCCUCAAUUUCUCCACUGAUUAUUUCCAGGAUUGGAGAUUUGAAAAAGCGGAUAAGGUCCUUGAGAAAUGUCAGGAAGGGAUUCCUGCAUAGGAACAUGAACUCAGGCUGCCGGGAUCUGAGUAGCAGCUGUGACAUCUAUUAGAACACACCCGCUUUGUGAUGAUGGGCUUGUUACCUACCUCUGUGUGACUGUUCUCUCAUCCAUGAGAUGGCAUCAUAAUUAGCACAUGUGGCAUGAGACUGCAGUAGAUUAAAUUCUCUAAUGUAUAUAAAUGAGUUCUAACUGCAUUGGGCAUCCAGUUAGCGCUCAAAAAAAUGUUAGCUCCUAUUAAAAAGUUUGCAUUCGGGAGAGCCAAAUACCACAUGACGAUGACCAGGGAUGGAUCUCUGAAGACAGAGUGCUAUAUAUGACAUGUUUCUUAUGUGUUUCUAUAUGACUGUGGAUUUAAAGGCAAUCCAGACUGCCAGAGACAGAGAAGCCAAAGUGCAUCUGGGAAGCAAAUGUGUGACUGCACAUCACUGGACAUCAAGUGUGGAUUAUGUCUUCACAUCAAACUGGAAGACUAGAGAAGCUGAACAUAUGAGUGAGCUCAGCUAAGAGACCAAGGAAAGAGGAGAAAAGAGGAACCAAGUGAUAGGUGAUUGAAAGAUAUGACUAGGCGGGAAGGCCAGUCUCGUGUCUCCCACUGCUUGUAUGAGAAGGGCAAAGAGAGAGGCUUGAAUGCUCUUUCCAUCCUUCCCCUGUAGCUUGUUUCCGGAGCUCAUCUUCAUCCUUCAACACUCAGCUUCAACGUCACCAUCUCCAGGAAGACUAUGCAGAUAUAUCCAGGUUUGCAUGAACAGAAAAGAAGAGGGGUGGUGAGCAAAGAAAUGAGCUCCAUCUCUAUCUGUAGACUCUGACCCUGGCUGAUUCCUUUGUGCACUGUGACAAAUGGAGACACAGAAGAUGGAAAACCACAUUCCUAAUUUCUUUCCCUGACAGACACCUAUUAGCAUUCUGUAUUGCAAAGAAGACCUGAAAGACGUGGAUGCAAAUAUCAUCAAGGCAGCAUCUCUGCAUCCACAGGAAGACAAUUAAACACACACAAGUUGCCUACACCUCCAGCCUCAGACAAGCUCCAAGGGCUGCCUUGAAGUCCUUCAGUCAAUAAGAUUUUUUUUUUUGUUUUACCUUUUUGUAUCCUCAAAAUAAAAGUCACAAGACAUUAAUAAAAAAGCAAGUUGAUCCAUAAA